UAUUUUAAAUUGUAAAUUGAUUAAAUCUACUUAAGUAUUAUGAAUAUGUAUUUAAAAUUUAAAGGACUUGGCGGUGUCUUAGACUUUUUAGGGGAACCUGUUUUUUAAUCGAUGGUCCUCGAUUUACCUUACCUAUUUUUGUUGACAGUUUGUAUACCGUCGUCGUCAGUUAACUUUAAAGAAAAUAUAAGUUAUCUUUUAAAAAUUAAUUUUAAAUGUCAGAUCAAGGUGCAGCUUAUAAAUGGGUUAAUGUGGGUUACAAUUAUUUAGUUAUAUAGGAUAAUUUUGUGAAAUUAUUAUUUGAAAAAGGACUUAAAAGUAAUUUGAUUUAGAUGUAUUUAAUGAAUAUGGCUCUUGGAUGUGUACACACCGCCCGUCACCCUCA
rnacentral:rRNA from 1 species